AAUUAAAUACAACACAUGAACAAAUAUUGUACCUGACAUAUAUUAAUUAUCAUAGGUGAUGCAUGCAUCUACUGAUUAUCAAAGGUUCCAUUAAUCAACAUGGACGGAUGCCACACAUGAGUCAGCGCAUUGCAAUGCUGAUUUGGCACAUGAACAAGACAUGAUGUUUCUACUUUUUAUUUCAUUAAACAAUUCUUCGAAGGACAACUCCAUCCUCCAUCAUCACAUAAUUCUGUACCUGAACCAAAAGAAGAUUAGUACUUAGA
rnacentral:lncRNA from 1 species